rnacentral:rRNA from 1 species
GUUUCAGCAGCCGCGGUAAUACGUAGGUGGCGAGCGUUGUCCGGAUUUAUUGGGCGUAAAGCGCGUGCAGGCGGUUCGUUAAGUCCGGUGUGAAAGCUCCCGGCUCAACUGGGAGAGGUCAUUGGAUACUGGCGGACUCGAGGGAGGUAGAGGAAGGUGGAAUUCCCGGUGUAGUGGUGAAAUGCGUAGAGAUCGGGAGGAACACCAGUGGCGAAGGCGGCCUUCUGGGCCUUUCCUGACGCUGAGACGCGAAAGCGUGGGGAGCGAACCGGAUUAGAUACCCUAGUAGUCC